AGCGAACGCUGGCGGCGUGCCUAACACAUGCAAGUCGAGCGAGAAAGGGGUGGCAACACCCUGAGUAAAGCGGCGAACGGGUGAGUAACGCGUGGGCAAUCUACCUUCCAGUCUGGGAUAACCUUCCGAAAGGAGGGCUAAUACCGGAUGAUGUCCUGUUGGGGCAUCCUGAGGGGAGCAAAGGGGCGGACCGCAAGGGCGUCUCGCUGGAGGAGGAGCCUGCGUCCGAUUAGCUAGUUGGUGGGGUAACGGCUCACCAAGGCGACGAUCGUAGCCGGCCUGAGAGGGUGACCGGCCACACUGGGACUGAGACACGGCCCACGACUCCUACGGGAGGCAGCAGUGGGGAAUCUUGCGCAAUGGGCGAAAGCCUGACGCAGCGACGCCGC
rnacentral:rRNA from 1 species